AAACUCCUGCGGUAUGCGUGAAUAUAUUUGUAAUUGAGCCAAUAUAUAAUCUGGGAAUCGAUCCACUUGUGGCUUACAUGCCCGGCAACAAGACCGGGACUUAAAAAGCAAGAAAGGUAGAAGCCCAUCUUGAAUUUAGGUUCAAGAAGUACAAAUAGCACGGUACCGCAGGUAAUAU
rnacentral:other from 1 species